AACGUAGGAGACAAACGUUAUCCGGAGUUACUGGGCGUAAAGGGCGUGUAGGGGGUUUCGUAAGUCUGGCGGGAAAUUUUUCGGCUUAACCGGGAAAGGUCGUCGGAUACUGCAGAACUAGAGGACGGUAGAGGCGUGUGGAAUUCCUGGUGUAGCGGGGAAAUGCGCAGAUAUCAGGAGGAACACCGGUGGCGAAGGCGGGUCUCUGGGCCGAUACUGACGCUGAGGAGCGAAAGCGUGGGUAGCAAACAGG
rnacentral:rRNA from 1 species